CUUGACCGACCCGAGCCACAACGGCCGCUCCGCCGAGUGCUCCUGACCGUACGUCGCCAGCAGGGCCUGCGCCUC
rnacentral:antisense_RNA from 1 species